rnacentral:rRNA from 1 species
GCUGAACGCUGGCGGCGUGCCUAAUACAUGCAAGUCGAGCGAAGCGGGGACGGGUGAGUAACACGUGGAUAACCUCCUAUAAGACUGGGAUAACUUCGGGAAACCGGAGCUAAACCGGAUACUUAUAGAUGGAUCCGCGCUGCAUUAGCUAGUUGGUCAGGUAACGGCUUACCAAGGCAACGAUGCAUAGCCGACCUGAGAGGGUGAUCGUCCACAGUGGAACGGAGAAACGGUAGAAACUCCGACGUGAGGCAGCGUAAGGGAGUCGUGCGAAAGGGGCGAAAGCCUGAAGGAGAAAGGCCGCGUGAGUAAUGAAGGUCUUCGGAUCGUAAAACUCUGUUAUCAGGGAAGCGGAACCUAGUCGGAAAGCCACGGCUAACUACGGGCCAGCAGCCGCGGUAAUAC